GCUGCGGGGUAGGAGGCGAGUCCGGCGCUCUCAGAUCAUUCGUAGGCUACAGCGGCGUCCAACCUCGGAAUAGCUGUGAAAGCUGCUGGACCUGGUGGUCGGGUUCUCUGUUCUCCCUUUUCUUCCUUGCCACUUUUAGUUGGCCCCCAAGAUCUAGGAGUCGGCAGGAGGGACCUGAGCCGCGGCCCUAGGAUGGGAAACAGUGCCCUCCGCGCUCAUGUGGAAACCGCGCAGAAAACUGGUGUCUUUCAGCUUAAGGACCGUGGGCUGACCGAGUUCCCCUCAGAGUUGCAGAAGCUGACCAGCAAUCUAAGGACCAUCGACUUGUCCAACAACAAGAUCGAGAGCCUACCGCCUAUGAUUAUAGGGAAGUUCACUCUGCUGAAGAGCCUCUCCUUGAACAACAACAAACUGACUGUUCUUCCUGAUGAGUUAUGCAAUCUGAAAAAACUAGAGAUGCUAAGCCUAAACAACAAUCACUUGAGAGAGCUACCAUCUACCUUUGGGCAACUGUCAGCCCUCAAGACCCUGAGCCUCUCUGGGAACCAGCUGCGAGCCCUACCACCACAACUCUGUAGCCUAAGGCACUUGGAUGUGGUGGAUCUCUCCAAGAACCAGAUUCGGAGCAUACCUGACACAGUGGGGGAGCUGCAGGUCAUCGAACUCAAUCUCAACCAGAACCAGAUAUCUCAGAUCUCAGUAAAGAUAUCUUGCUGUGCUCGUCUUAAAGUUCUUCGCCUGGAAGAGAACUGUCUUGAGCUCAGCAUGCUUCCACAGAGCAUCCUCAGUGACUCCCAGAUCUGUCUGCUUGCUGUGGAAGGCAACCUUUUUGAAAUAAAGAAACUUCGAGAACUGGAAGGCUAUGAUAAGUACAUGGAGAGGUUCACGGCCACUAAGAAGAAGUUUGCAUGAUGUUCUCCAGGAGCAUGGGAACCAUAUAGGACACUGACUUGGAAUCUGUUGCAAUCUGGAUGAAUCAGAGGCUCCUGUUGUUGUCAAGGAUUAUCUGCACAGAACCUUUGGAAGAGUUUGUAACCUGGGAUCCAUAGAUGGGCUUUCAAGACCCAUUGAUGCAAGAUUCUUAUUUAUGCAUGAUUCACAUUUGUGUUUAUCUGUUUCUCUGGGGAGAUAGACUAUGAUGUCUUUCAUCAAAUUCACAAAGGGAUUCACCAAGAGCUCCACCCAAAAGAGAAUAGCAACUAUAAUUUAUUAAGCUCUUACGUUCACUGGGUGCUGCUCUCAGUACUUUACAUAAUAGCACACUGAGUUCCUGUGACAACUCCAUGGAGUAGGAAUUGUUAAUCCCCAUUUAUAGCCAAGGAAAACUGAGGCACAGAAAUGGGCUUGUAGUCUCAGCAAGUAGCAAGAGUGUAAAUUCAGACAAAGUUGAGUGCCUUCUAAUUAUAUUGUGUGGGCAGCAUUUAGGUGUUCUCAGAACUAUUGCCUUUAGCCAUAAUAUAAAAAAAAUUUUUUUAAGUUCCAAGUAAGGGCAUUUAGGUAUAGCACAAUCCCCAGUGUUUUAUACCUUCUUACUUUACACAUUUACUACUACCUGCCCAGCCAAACUAUUCCUCUGGCAUGCAGAGUGCCUGAUUGAGUAUCACUUUACAUACUUUCCUCUUUAGCCUAUGAAUGUCCUCAUGUUAAUAUAGUCUUCAGUAAGUGGUUAUAGUUCUAGCUCAUAAACAUCCUUUCAAUCACUGGUAUAUUUAAGCUCGAAUGAGAGACUAAUAAAAAUUAAAAUGAACCUCAUGACAAGUUAUAGGAAGAAAAGUCAUGUCAGUACAAAAGAUGGGAAAGGUGCUAAAGGCAGCUUUCCAUUGGAGUGCUUCUUAAUUUAUGGACUUUUGCUUUAUGCAGUUUGUUAAGAACUGGUGAAAUUAUUGAUCCCCCUCUCCCCAUCCCUCCACCAAACAGUCACAGAAACACAUUACCUAUUUGAAAGAACAAUUCCAUUAGUUAGUUAUAAAAUUUAAUUGUAAAGAUCAAGCAGUGGUUAUUGGUCAAACCAAUCCACAUUAAUAGCUCUGAAGUGUACAGACACUAGUUUUUAAAUAAAGGUGACAAAUACCAAUCAGAUUCUUAUAACACUGUUCAGGAUCUAAAUAAACGUGAUUCUGGACAUAAUUCAAUCCACAAGGCUAGUUGAGUGAUAGUGCAAUCAUCAAUAAUUAAACCAAAAGCAUAAUUUUCCAAAUCACUUUUAAACAGAAUAAAUUCUAGCUUUUGUAAAGUCUAAAGCUACAAAAAACUCAAAGCAAUGUAACUAUUUUUCUACCUGAGAUCAAAACAAGUUUCUUUUUUUUCGAUCUAAACAUAAUUCUUGGCAUUGAGGUAAAUCUGAAUUCAUGUGAUACACUUUGUCAAACUUUUCCAAAAAAUUUAAGCCCUGCUUUAGAGAGAAAUCCUCAUGUUAUACAUACAUAUUUACAUAUUUUUUCUUCAAAAACUAAUGACAAUUUUAUGAGGUUAAUAGGCAUGUAAUGGGACCAUGAUAGUACUAAUAAUGUGAAAAUAAAAAGCCAUUCUUUUAUACAAA